UCCCGCACUCGCGCCUCCCCCGCGCCCAGCUCCUCCCGCCUCGCCGCCUCCUCCUCUCCCCUCCCGCGCGCCUCUCUCCUCCCACCCACAUCGCCGCCGCCGCCACCCACCACCUCGAACCGCGCCGUCGGCGGCCAGAUCCGCCGCAACAGAGCCCCGCACCCUCCCCAACGAUGAUGAGCAGCAGCGGAGGGAGGACGUGGAGCACGACAGCGGCGGCGGAGGGGAGCAGCAGCAGCAGGCCUCGCCGGGGCGCCCCUCGCCUCCUCGUCGCCCGCCGGGGGCGCCUGGUUCAGGGCCGCCCUCGCCUGCCGCGGCUACGUCCUGUUGUCGCUGCUCGCCCUCGCGCUCCUCCUCCUUCUCCUCGUUGGGUACCUCAGCCAGAAAAGCAGGGCACCAUUCACCAUGGAGGACUGCCGCGUCCAGUCUCCCUCACUCCCUCACUUCCUCCCUCCUGCCUCAAUACCCUAGCACCCAUGACCAUGGCGACUCCACUGGAGGUGCAGCAAGCAGGUGCUGUUGUGUGAAGGACAGGAGAAGAGGGUAGAGGAGAGGAUUGCUACUGUCUCACCUGUUUCUCCGUCUUCUUCUUCUACUACGUCCUAUGUUGGUCAGACCAGGAGGCGUUGCCAUCGAUUAUAGGGUGUCGGACCAACGUCCUCGUGUUCGUGCAUCUUCGGAAGAAACGACCCGAGGUGAGUCGCCUCUGGUCCGCCGCACGAAGAGAGCGGGGGCUAGAUCGCAAGGGCAGAGUUGCAGUCCUCCAGGGCCGCGGGAAGAAGAAGAUGGGACUCAUAUACAAGCCUCCCUCUCGUGGUGAACACUUCCCUGGAAUUGAUGGAAGAUCUGCCUUGCAGCCUUAGAGGAUCCAUGCAUCGUGUGAUGUAUGGUCUACAGGCUACCAAUGCAACUGAUGUAGUCCUGCACAACACAAAUAAUUUAGUGGUGCUUGGAUCUAGGAGUGAACUGGGUCAGGGUUCUGUACUAUAGGAGGAAACAGAUGGGGCAUGUGGUUUUCAAGGAAAAAUAUUGGAACUGAUGCCUUGCGUUGAUCUCUCUGAUCUGGUCGGCCUGGCGCGGGAACUGAGCCGCCGUCGAUGAAUUUAUCGCAGCUUGGAUACCUGUUGCUUUGGAUCCGCUUUGAAUGCAGGUAGGUUUGUUCAUAGGUUUAUGCGGCGCAUGUACUGGCAUAAUACUUGUUGAAGCACCUCCCUGGCUUCCUUGCCUUGCUGCUCUAGCACCAGCCUCGCCACCACUAAGGAUACCCAUCAUGUGUUUAGGAUCCCACACAUGGCGGUUCUUGAUAUGCUUCGAGCACACCUUGGGCUAUCACCAGCUCAGUACGAGCGUGUUGUUCAUGAGGGAGGGUCGAUUUGAUUGACUAAAUCUGUAGCCAGCCAGAACCAAGGUUCAGGUCAUUCUUGUACGGACAUCUACGUUGCCAUCCCAGUAAAAGGGCAGCUUGAUUGAAUCAUGUUUGGUUAAAAGAAGUUCAGAAUCUGCAUCUCUAACUCUUCAUCGAUGAUCAAGAAACUCAUUCUUUGAUGAUUUUUUAUUCACUUGCAUGUGUUCCGGCAUUAUUAUUAUGAACCUGUGACAAAUAUCUUUUUAUGCUACUGUAGUGAGCAUCAUGCUAGCUAUUAUGAUGCUGUACUGAAGUGCUAAUCAUGUGAGUGAAUAUAUAUUAGUUGGUUUAAGCAUCAGUGAAUAUUAUUUACCCCAUAAAUCUGCACAUAAUUUUCUAUGCUAUGUGGUAGGUUUUUCUAAUUGUUGGUCAUUUGAUCCCGAUAUGAUCUCUUACUUAGGUGCUUGCUGCACCCAUAUAUUUUUAGAGCAGAGGAGAUGGUACAUCAUAUAGUUUGGUCACGAGGUUUAUUUUUUACCACUGGCUAUGUAGGUUUUGUGCUAGAAUGCAUUUCGUACACAACUAUUAGCUAUGCUUAAUUGUGUUUAGCAACUUCCUUGCAGCUCGUGCGUUGCAGAAUUUUAUAAUUAGCAAGAAUUUUACCUCCCUGGACUGAAUAAUUAGCUGACUUGGCACUAUAUAUGUUCAUAUCUGAUUGUGCGAUGUGUGAAAUUAAGUUGCAGCCCUUAGUAUACUUCAUUUUUUCCCUAUGCUUCCUUCAUAUUUUCCUAUAAACUAACUAGAAGCUUUAUAUUUUAUGAGAUGCAUGGGCACUUAUCGUUGCAGCAUGAGUUGCCACCAAAUCAGAUUAGAAUUUUUUUAAGCAGAUUCCUAUAUUUUGAAAUAGUUAUGCUGAUCACAUUGCUUAGAUGGUUCAUGUCUUAUUUUGUAAUGUACUUCAUCGUGUCUCAAGCUUUAUGUGCUUAAUGGUGAGACGUCUCACAUGAUCUUAAAUAUGAUCAGCGAAAACCUGAGUGCUGGAGAUGUAUAGAACAGGACGAAGUUUACCCUGAAUAUGCCGUCUAUCCCCUUCCUGAAGGCAAAGCUUGGGUGACACAUCUCUUGGCAGUGGCUUGCCUAUCUCUCGCUUCAAAGAUGGAGGAGACAUAUGUGCAGCUCCCCGUGGACCUACAGUUUCAUCUCAAUUAAUCGACGGUUUUCGCUUGAAAGAUGGUUGAGGCAAAUUCUGCGUUUGAGGGAAGGACAAUAAAAAGGAUGGAGCUUUUGGUGCUCAGCACCUUCAAAUAGAGGAUGCAAGCUAUUACUGCUUGCUCAUUUAUUGACUACUUCCUUUGCAAAUUCAAUGAUCAUGACGCACCCUCCAUGCUCGCAUUCUCCUGCUCGACCGACCUCAUCCAGAGCACAGCUAAAGGCCAAAGGAAUCUUGCGCAUAAAACAAGAUAAUGACCAAGAAGAGCAUGUGAGGGGCCAGCAGGUGUUUAUCCCGAGUGAUUUCAGUGUUUGUCAAGCCUGAUUAAGGCCGUCAUGCUUAUUCUCGACAUGCAAUGGAUUCUUAUGUCUGUUUAGGCCUAACCUCACCAAACUUUGCUACACUUCACAUCAUGAGGGAGGGAGGAUGCGUCCAUUGCAACACAAGCAAAUCAGGUGACAAGGUGUUUGGAGAAGCUACUCAUAGCUAACUACAUAGUUUAGUACAAUGUAUUAAAGCAGUGUAAAUAAAUAACUUAUAUGGCCUGCUUUUGGUACAUAGUACCGAACCUUGAUCUUUAGGUAUUUCAUGCUACAAUUUUUAACAAAUGCACCAAUGGUUUGUAACGAGAUUUGAUGUUUUGCAUUGGACCAUUACUGUUGUAAGUAAAUAUUAUCUUUU